UACGUAGGUGGCAAGCGUUGUCCGGAUUUACUGGGCGUAAAGGGCGCGUAGGUGGCCUUCUUAGUCAGACGUGAAAUCCCCAGGCUUAACCUGGGAACUGCGUCUGAUACUGGAAGGCUUGAGUAUGGGAGAGGUAAGCGGAAUUCCUGGUGUAGCGGUGAAAUGCGCAGAUAUCAGGAGGAACACCGGUGGCGAAGGCGGAUCUCUGGGCCUUACCUGACGCUCAGGUGCGAAAGCUAGGGGAGCGAACAGG
rnacentral:rRNA from 1 species